AGGGGGAUAGCUCAAUGGUGGAGCACAUGCUUAGCAUGCACAAGGUCCUGGGUUCAAUACCUAGUACCCCCA
rnacentral:tRNA from 1 species